AGAUUGAACGCUGGCGGCAUGCCUUACACAUGCAAGUCGAACGCGAAAGUAGGGGGCAACCCCUGCGAGUAGAGUGGCGAACGGGUGAGUAAUACAUCGGAACGUGUCCAGUAGCGGGGGGAUAACUUCUCGAAAGAGAAGCUAAUACCGCAUACGACCUACGGGUGAAAGGGGGGGAUCGCAAGACCUCUCACUAUUGGAGCGGCCGAUGUCGGAUUAGCUAGUUGGCGGGGUAAAAGCCCACCAAGGCGACGAUCCGUAGCUGGUCUGAGAGGACGGCCAGCCACACUGGAACUGAGACACGGUCCAGACUCCUACGGGAGGCAGCAGUGGGAAUUUGGACAAGUGGGCGAAAGCCUGAUCCAGCCAUGCCGCGUGAGUGAAGAAGGCCUUCGGGUUGUAAAGCUCGUUCGGCGGGACGAAAGGUCUAGUAUUAACACUGCAGAUCAGUGACGGUACCCGACAGAAGAAGCGACCGACUAACUACGUGACCAGCAGCCGACGGUAAUC
rnacentral:rRNA from 1 species